AUGGGCGCAGCCUGAUGCAGCGACGCCGCGUGAGGGAUGGAGGCCUUCCGGUUGUAAACCUCUUUUAUCGGGGAGCAAGCGUGAGUGAGUUUACCCAUUGAAUAAGCACCGGCUAACUACGUGCCAGCAGCCGCGGUAAUACGUAGGGUGCAAGCGUUAUCCGGAAUUAUUGGGCGUAAAGGGCUCGUAGGCGGUUCGUCNCGUCCGGUGUGAAAGUCCAUCGCUUAACGGUGGAUCCGCGCCGGGUACGGGCGGGCUUGAGUGCGGUAGGGGAGACUGGAAUUCCCGGUGUAACGGUGGAAUGUGUAGAUAUCGGGAAGAACACCAAUGGCGAAGGCAGGUCUCUGGGCCGUUACUGACGCUGAGGAGCGAAAGCGUGGGGAGCGAACAGGAUUAGAUACCCUGGUAGUCCAAGGGCGAAUUC
rnacentral:rRNA from 1 species